ACUCCUACGGGAGGCAGCAGUGGGAAUAUUUGGACAAUGGGGGAAACCCGUAGCAUCCAGCCAUGCCGCGUGUGUGAAGAAGGCCUUCGGGUUGUAAAGCACUUUCAGUGGGGAGGAAAGGUUGAUGGUUAAUACCUAUCAGCUGUGACGUUACCCACAGAAGAAGCACCGGCUAACUCCGUGCCAGCAGCCGCGGUAAUACGGAGGGUGCAAGCGUUAAUCGGAAUUACUGGGCGUAAAGCGUGCGCAGGCGGUCUGUUAAGCGAGAUGUGAAAGCCC
rnacentral:rRNA from 1 species